AUGGGACCCUGGAAUUCUGGGGCCGUGUCCCUGGGAUUUUGGGAAUGGGACCCGGGAAUUUUGGGAAUGGGACCCCGGAAUUUUGGAGCUGCAUCCCUGAAACUUUGGGGCCACGUCCCUGGAAUUCUGGGGCCUGGAAUUUUGGGAAUGGGACCCAGGAAUUUUGGGAAUGCAUUCCUGGGAUUCUGGGGCCGCGUUCCCGGGACGGUUUUUUGGGAAUGUGUCCCUGGAAUUUUGGGACUGUGUUCCUGGGAUGGUUUUUUUUGGGAUUUUGGGAACGCAUUCCCAGGAUGUUGUUUUUUUUGGGAACGUGUCCCCAGGAUUGUUUUUUUUUGGGAACGCAUUCCCAGGUUGUUUUUUUUGGGAACGUGUCCCUGGGAUUUUGGGAACGUGUCCCCGGGAAGGUUUUUUUUGGGAAUGCAUUCCCAGGAUGUUUUUUUGGGAACGUGUCCCCAGGAAGGUUUUUUUUGGGAACGCAUUCCCAGGUUGUUUCUUUUGGGAACGUGUCCCUGGGAUUUUGGGAAUGUGUCCCUGGGAUUUUGGGAAUGCAUUCCCAGGUUGUUGGAUUUUUUGGGAAUGUGUCCCCGGGAUUUUGGGAAUGCAUUCCCAGGAUGUUUUUUUGGGAACGUGUCCCCGGGAUGUUUUUUUUGGGAUUUUGGGAAUGCAUUCCCAGGUUGUUGGUUUUUUUGGGAACGUGUCCCCGGGAAGCCGCGGGGCUGCGAGAGGCUCUCAGGAAUUCUUUAUUCUGUAGGAAUCGAUUCCAUUAAACUCCAGUGGUUUCACCCCUGCUGUGCCCUGGCCUGGAUCCGCCUNNNNNNNNNNNNNNNNNNNNGGAUUUUCCAAGGAUUUUCCAAGGAUUUUCCAAGGAUUUUCCAAGGAUUUUCCAAGGAUUUUUCCCGGUUUUUUUUUGCGUUUUUCGGGAUGGCUGAAGCUGCUUAAAUUUUUUUUCUUAAUUUUUUUUUUUUGGUUUUUUUUUGGUUUUUUUCCCUUUUUUUUGGCGUUUUAUUCCCGUUUUUUUUUAUUUCAUUUUUCCCAAGUCGGGAAUGAGAGGAAUUUUCCCUUUUUUCCAUGGAUGAGAGGGGGGGAAAAACGGGAAAAACCAAAAAAAUCGGGAAAAAUCGGUCGGAAUCGGCCAUUCCCAAAAAAAUGUGUAAAUAAGAGAGGAAAUUAAAGUUUCUACCGGAUUUAGAUGGAAAAAAAAAUUCCCAAAAAAUAGAAAAACUAUGGAAAAAUGGCUUUGAUCCCGCGGUUUUCCGGCGUUUCAGUGCCUUGAGCUGGAUUUGGGGUGGAGGGAGGGAGAGGGGCUGGAAUUCCGGGAAUUUUCCCACUCUGGAAUCCCGGGAAUGUUUUCCCCCCCUGGAAUUCCGGGAAUUUUCCCGCCCUGGAAUUCCGGGAGUUUUCCCCCCUGGAAUUCCGGGAAUUUUCCCCCCUGGAAUCCCGGGAAUGUUUUCCCCCUUGGAAUUCCGGGAAUUUUCCCCUUGGAAUUCUGGGAAUUUUCCCCCUGGAAUUUUGGGAAUUUUCCCCCCUGGAAUUUUAGGGAAUGUUCCCCCCUGGAAUUUUAGGGAAUGUUCCCCCCUGGAAUUUUUUGGGGUUGGAUCCCCUGGGAUUUUUGGGAAUGGGACCCCGGAAUUUUGGGAACGCGUUCCCGGGAUUCCGGGGCCGCGUUCCCGGGAUGGUUCUGGGAUUGUGUCCCUGGAAUUUUGGGAAUCUUUCCCUGGAAUUUUGGGGCCACGUCCUCAGAAUUUUGGAGCUGCAUCCCUGGGAUUUUGGGAAUGGGACCCGGGAAUUUUGGGAACGGGACCCCGGAAUUUUGGGAACGGGACCCGGGAAUUUUGGGAACGGGACCCCGGAAUUUUGGGAACGGGACCCCGGAAUUUUGGAGCUGCAUCCCUGAAACUUUGGGGCCACGUCCCUGGAAUUCUGGGGCCUGGAAUUUUGG
rnacentral:lncRNA from 1 species